AUUGGAUUCGUGACCGUGUUUUAAUCAGCAAGGUACCACAGGAGUGUCAGCCCUUCGUACAGACUGCCAUCAUAUAACACACAACUGGACUUUCCCUUGGAGGACAAAUGAAGAUAUUGUCCUGGAGAACUGAUGUCUGUUUUGCUCAUUUGGAAGGCCAGUGGGAACCAAACCUUCGAGCUCCAAAAGGAACAUAAAGGGACAAACAGACAUCACAUCUCCAUUAAAUAUCAUCGAUCGCAUCAUCAGAGUUUAAAUCAGCAUAUGG